rnacentral:rRNA from 1 species
AGUGAACGCUGGCGGUAGGCCUAACACAUGCAAGUCGAACGGCAGCACAGUAAGAGCUUGCUCUUACGGGUGGCGAGUGGCGGACGGGUGAGGAAUACAUCGGAAUCUACUUUUUCGUGGGGGAUAACGUAGGGAAACUUACGCUAAUACCGCAUACGACCUACGGGUGAAAUCAGGGGAUCUUCGGACCUUGCGCGAUUGAAUGAGCCGAUGUCGGAUUAGCUAGUUGGCGGGGUAAAGGCCCACCAAGGCGACGAUCCGUAGCUGGUCUGAGAGGAUGAUCAGCCACACUGGAACUGAGACACGGUCCAGACUCCUACGGGAGGCAGCAGUGGGGAAUAUUGGACAAUGGGCGCAAGCCUGAUGCAGCCAUACCGCGUGGGUGAAGAAGGUCUUCGGGUUGUAAAGCCCUUUUGUUGGGAAAGAAAAGCAGCAGGUUAAUACCCCGCUGUUUUGACGGUACCCAAAGAAUAAGCACCGGCUAACUUCGUG